GUGGGUAGUUGUAUGUACCCUGCGAAUAAGCAUCGGCUAACUCCGUGCCAGCAGCCGCGGUAAUACGGAGGAUGCGAGCGUUAUCCGGAUUUAUUGGGUUUAAAGGGUGCGUAGGUGGGCUAUUAAGUCAGUGGUGAAAGUUUGUCGCUCAACGAUAAAAUUGCCGUUGAAACUGGUGGUCUUGAGUAUGGAUGAAGUAGGCGGAAUGCGUGGUGUAGCGGUGAAAUGCAUAGAGAUCACGCAGAACUCCGAUUGCGAAGGCAGCUUACUAAGGCAUAACUGACACUGAAGCACGAAAGCGUGGGUAUCAAACAGGAUUAGAUACCCUGGUAGUCCACGCAGUAAACGAUGAUUACUAGGAGUUUGCGAUAUAGUGUAAGCUCUACAGCGAAAGCGUUAAGUAAUCCACCUGGGGAGUACGCCGGCAACGGUGAAACUCAAAGGAAUUGACGGGGGCCCGCACAAG
rnacentral:rRNA from 1 species